rnacentral:lncRNA from 1 species
UACAAAAUUAACAUAGCAUGCAUGGACAGGACCUUAAAUACUUUUAAAGGACAUGUACUUUUGCAUAUUUUUUUUUUUUUUUACAAAUGCGUCCUUGUUAAAAGGAUGGAGAAAAAAAUAACAUUUUCGCCUAAAUUACCUUUCAAUUGUUUUCCAUGUUGUCUUGAUGUGUGUCCACGGAACCCAGAGAUAGAUUUCAGAAUCUUGUCACAGUCAAGACAUUUGUAACCA